GGAAUAUAAGAACUCGUCUCUUAACUUUUAACUAAAAAAAUUAAGAACCGGUUCUUAAAACUUUUAUUUAAGAAACGGUUCUUAGCUUUUUAAUUAAAAGUUAAGAGGCGAGUUCUUAUAUUCC
rfam:Brassica oleracea var. oleracea cultivar TO1000 chromosome C2, whole genome shotgun sequence